rnacentral:rRNA from 3 species
GUUGACCUCGGAUCAGGUAGGAAUACCCGCUGAACUUAAGCAUAUCUA